UCAGAGUUUAAAUAAUGAACAUAGCAAUACCACCAAAGAAACAUUCAUUAAAUAUCAAUAUAAAAUAAAGUGGAAGAAAAAGAGAAAAACAGCAAGCUGCUGAUUGCAGUGUUUGCAACCGAGACUCUGUUCUGCAAACCCUGGGGGAUCAGCGUGGAUUGAGCUAUUACUAGAGGUUGGGGUUAAACACGGUAGGCUAUAGACUUUCUGGGGGAGAAACCAGUCAAUUUCUAUUCUGAAAACCUGGCACUGCCUAAGAAAAUCCAAACCCUUCAAACAGAAGCUUCGCAAGAGUGUAGUUAAUGGCAUAAAAGAGUGCUCAGAAACUCACCCACAGAGACUUUCUGAUAGCUGAUGCCAGGAACAGCAAAAAGCAGAAUGUCCAGUUAGGGAUAGUUAACCAAGCCCCUCUCAAUUCUUCUUCUUGAGGCUAUCCUCUCCUCACUGGUCCCCAUUUUAUAAUCAUGCUCAAGGAGCCUAGGCUUCUCUUCUUCUCUUACAGCAUGUUUAAUAUCACUACUUUAUCCAUUCUGUACUGUUGCAGGCUGAAGGUGACAUUACACUUAGAGGGAUCCACAGAUUCAAGAGGCUGCUUGGGGAGGGCAGCACAGUGAAGUACAAGGACUUUGACAUCAGAGAGGCCUGGAUUCAAGUCCCAAUUUCUGUGUGUGGUAACCAGUCUGCAAGACAGCCUGUGAUGGUUCCUGCCUCCUCGUAUUCAUGUCCUUCUUAGUUCCCUUGCGCAUUGAAUCAGGGCUGGCUCUGGGUGACCAAUAGAAUGUGGAGGAAGUGAUGGGGUGUGAAUUCCGAGGCUAGGUCACAAAAGGCAUUGUAUCUUCCACCUCUUAGAUCUCUCUCUCUGCGGAAGCCAGCCACCGCUCUCCAAGGACUCUCGAGCAGCUCCAUCUACAGAUUCACAUGGAGAAGAAUUAAGGGUUCCUGCCAAUCACCAGCACCACUUUGCCAGCCUUGUAAGUGGGCCACCUUGGAAUUGGAGCCUCCAGUUCCUACUGACAUCUGACUGCAACAUCAUGAGAGACCCUGAGUUUGAACCACCCAGCUGAGCUGCUUCUGAGCUAACCCACUGAAACCGUUCCUUAGAUCCUGGGAUGAGGAGGUGGACCAGCAGAAGGUGGGCUUGUGAAGGCAGCCCGGGGUCCAAAUCCUCCUGGCUCUUCAGCUUAGCGGGUUAGUUAACAUUCAGAAGCCUUCAUCUCCCAUCUGCAAAAUGGGCAUGUCCAACUCAGAAGCUGCCUUGAAGAAAGGGUCUACCCAGCAUGGUGCGUGGAGCCUAAGCAGUCAGUACUUCAGGACUUCACCCGGCCCCUUUCCAAUAACUGCUGCUGUCGCCCUCACAGGAUGUCACCUUCAGCGUCUGAAAGCUGGGUUUGAUGCGUCUGGAAAGGCGUCCCUGACAGGCGUCGUUGCCAGGAGCCCCUAGUGCCACCAGCAGCCAGCAGGGGAGGGCGUCCUCUGCCCGCUCACUUCUGACCCUUCUCUCGUUGCACCCGGAACAUGGUGCAGCUGGGAGCAGCCUGGGCUGCGCGGAAGGCUCAGAUUUGGGGACGGCCCUUGCCAGUGACUGUGAGCUGGGGUGUCUUGGAAACUCCCAGUCUCAGCUUCUCCAUUUAUAAGAUGAGAAUGAUCAUACCAGACUCAGGCAAGGUUGUUUGUGCAUUAGUGAAAUCAGACGUAUUAAAUAAAGUACCACAUUGAUCGUGGAGUUGUUGAAUAACCAAGAACACGCCUAUCUGUCUCCAAAAAAUAAAUGUUGAAAAUGAUGAGGGCGUGGCUCUACGUUGGGAAGGGAAAUAGGGUGCUUGGAUGAGAGAAUCCUGAGGCAUGGGACAGUGGAGGGAUCCAGGAUAGUUCCAUAAGAAAAUGUGCUUGCACUAUCGUUUCUUUGCAGAGGCUCUUGUGUGCUGGGAGGCUGGCUGGGAUGGGGAGUUGGUGGCAGAGAAUAGUGUCUGUUUUCUUCCUGGUAGCUGGAGAGCUCUGCGACAGAGGACUGAGGUCAUUAGGAACAAGCGGGCAGGUAGGGACAGGCGUUGGAGUGGACUAGCCCUGGUUCCCCUGAAGCUCUCUGGGGUGGAGGUGAAGGAGCUUCUAGGGCAAAGUUUGCCAGUUAAGGAGGAGACACUGUUUGGGCUGCUCCCCGAAAUGGAGAACUUUUGUGUGUGCCUGGAGUGUUUCUAUUUGAGAAAAACUAUUUGAGAGGUGGGAAGGUGAAUUAUUUACCAGUAAGUUUAUCCUUCUCUCCUCAGAUUCUGCAGAACUUGCAGACCCAUAAACAAAUUAGAAAUUGCUUUUCUCCUCUUGCUUAACCUAAAUUUCUUUGUGGAAGCUGAAGGAAAAUAUGAGUAAUUUUCUAACAUAUUCAGUUACAGAGACAGCAAAGAGAAAUAUUCAAGAAAAAAAAAAAACAAACCCUGAGGUGCUACUGACUUCGUGUAUGUCUUAGCUGUAGACAGAAUUGGGAUUUCCUAAUAUGGGUUUGUUCCAGUACAGCCCCUCAGAAAGAUUUUCAUCAGCAAAACACACAUUGGAGGACCAGCUGCUGUGCAGUUGUCUCUUUUAAACCAUUUUCUCACUUCAUUGCUAAUUUUCCCAGCACCUUUCUUCUAACAGUUCUACAUUUUUGAUCUGCAAACAACCUGAGAUUAUUUCUUUCCCUCUUGGUAAAUAAAAGAAAUUUAAAGUAGAUUCUAGAAUGGGUUAGACUGUUUUAUUCCAGAUCCCUCAAAAAGAAGGGAUAAAUACUUCUUUAAAAGAAUCCCUUUAAAAGAAGGGAUAAAGUUUAAGCCAUAAAUACAAUAAAUGGUGAACUGCCUGGUUAACUGAGGGCUGAUUCCCGGAGACGCAACCAGGGGGAGCUUCCUGAGCAAGGUAGCUACUCCCUGCCAAGGUAACCACAGCUUUCUAACAAUAAGUAAAAUGUUUCUACUCAUAUCAUAGGGACCCUACAACAACAUGGCCCUUUUCUCUCUGCCAUGCAAAAAAGCAUCAAGAAAGUAAGAAGGGGCAUUUUUGAGAACAAACUAGAAAUCUUAGCAUCAUGUCUUCUCUCUAAUUAUGUUGGAAACAGGCUUUGAAAAAGAAAAAAACUGAGGAGAAGAUCACUAAAUAGAAUUCAAUAAAAAUGGCUUUUGAUAUUCUGUAGCUUGAAAGCAUUUGUAUUGGGUUUAUGUUCUCAUGGUUUUUGUUUCAAAGAGUUUAAGGUAAAUUUGAAUGUCCCAUUCCUCUGAGAACUCAGAGAAAGCCAGGUUGAUUAAGAAGUAAUUAAGAGGCUGGG
rnacentral:lncRNA from 10 species